rnacentral:tRNA from 1 species
GCGGGCAUAGUAUAGCGGCAGUACGUAACCUUCCCAAGGUUGAAGUGUGGGUUCGACUCCCAUUGCCCGCU